CAGGGAUUGCCUCAGUAACGGCGAGUGAAGCGGCAACAGCUCAAAUUUGAAAUCUGGCUCUUUCAGGGUCCGAGUUGUAAUUUGUAGAAGAUGCUUCGGGUGUGGUUCCGGUCUAAGUUCCUUGGAACAGGACGUCAUAGAGGGUGAGAAUCCCGUAUGUGACCGGCUACCUUCGCUCAUGUGAAGCUCUUUCGACGAGUCGAGUUGUUUGGGAAUGCAGCUCAAAAUGGGUGGUAAAUUUCAUCUAAAGCUAAAUAUUGGCCAGAGACCGAUAGCGCACAAGUAGAGUGAUCGAAAGAUGAAAAGCACUUUGGAAAGAGAGUUAAAUAGUACGUGAAAUUGUUGAAAGGGAAGCGCUUGCAAUCAGACUUGCACGCAGUUGAUCAUCCGGUGUUCUCACCGGUGCACUCUGCUGCGUUCAGGCCAGCAUCGGUUCUGGUGGUUGGAUAAAGGCCUUGGGAAUGUAGCUCCUUUCGGGGAGUGUUAUAGCCCUCGGUGCAAUGCAGCCUACCGGGACCGAGGACCGCGCUUCGGCUAGGAUGCUGGCGUAAUGGUUGUAAGCGACCCGUCUUGAAACACGGACCAAGGAGUCUAACAUCUAUGCGAGUGUUUGGGUGUCAAACCCAUACGCGUAAUGAAAGUGAACGGAGGUGAGAACCCUUAAGGGUGCAUCAUCGACCGAUCCUGAUGUCUUCGGAUGGAUUUGAGUAAGAGCAUAGCUGUUGGGACCCGAAAGAUGGUGAACUAUGCGUGAAUAGGGUGAAGCCAGAGGAAACUCUGGUGGAGGCUCGCAGCGGUUCUGACGUGCAAAUCGAUCGUCAAAUUGCGCCAUAGGGGCGAAAGACUAAUCG
rnacentral:rRNA from 1 species